CACAGAUUAACAGGGUCACAUGCUCUUGUGCCAGUCUCUGUUGGUUUUCAACUACUCAACACAUACUCCACACAGGCCUCACUUAUCUUCAGUACUGGAACAUAGCGGGCCUGCUCGACUGUGUUGGCACCUACAACAGCAUUCCAGCAGAUCCUCCCCACCAAUGAAUGCAGUGCUGUAGAGGAGGAGCUCACAUGGGUAAGAUACAACAAAGAACAUCUGUGGUCAUGGGGAGAUGCCAAUCAGCCUACAACUCAUUUCUUUGGACUGGGGGAGGAAACUGGGGUACCCAGAGGAAACCCCUGAAGCACGGGGAGAACAAGCAAACUCUGCACACAUAGAGCAGAGACAGG
ensembl:lncRNA